GUUGUAUUCAGGCCUGCUUCAACGACACUAAUGUUGUAUCGUGCAGUCAUGGCGUUAGAGGAGUGAAUUGCAUUUGCCGAUUCGGUCACCGGUGGAAUGGGAAAGCAUGUCAGCUGCUCUACUGCCCAUUGGUGAACGAAGUGACGUUGAUGCCAAUUCCACGAAGCCCUCCUGGCACCAGAGUCAACGCGGCAUGUCGUGCCGGCUACGGACAAAUAUCACAACCAUCGAUUCUAGCAUGCCAGCCUGGUGGAAUUUGGACGUCGCUUCCCAGUUGUCUGCCUGUUUGCUUUGUGGAGCGACAUUCUCAAAAGUACAUUGGCAGCAACAUGUCACAAAACCUCUGUUGCACGGGAUAUACAUGCAAACCACAGGUAGAAAACACGGGACCCUACACACUUGGAAUAGUGAUUGCCGGAAUUGCUUGUGGGAUGGUCUUCGGACUGAUGUCAGCGACGGUGGUGGCCAUUGUGGUCUAUCGUCGGAAGGUGGGAAAAAAUCAAGCUGAAACAGGAGUUCCAAAUCUGAAGCCAAAUACAGCAAAUGAAGAAGCUACCGUUGCCGAGAGCACUCUCACCAAAAGCGAUGCUUACGGAGUUGUACACAUUGACCAGGAAGCACAAUACGAAUCCGUUCACCCCUAGUACAAUAAUUAUACUGAAAUUCACAAUGAACAAUAAUAAUAAUUAUUAUUCACUGGUUUGAAAGAAAGCCACAUUAUAAUUAUGCAACCAAAUUUCUUCGUGAAUAAUCAUUAUGGUUUCUCAACGCAAAUACUCAAACACAGUCUCUUUGCUGCUGGUGUCACCUAACUCACAAAUUUCCCCAACUCUUCAGGGUUAGCCCGUCAUCAGGGUGAAAAAGGUUUAAAAGAAUCACCCUAUGCCUAUCAUAGGGUUACAAUCACAAUGGAUUCCGUACUUUAUAUUUUGCAAUCCAGACCCUUUCUCGGUUUUUCGGUUCCUUUCCUUAUCAUGCUUCUUCCUUCUCUCUCGCUCUGCUUCUGCUCGGCAAUCUGGCUCAGGCAGUCUCUUUUGCAUAACUUUGAUGUAUCUGCAUGUACUGGUAUGUCCAGCACAAUUGAAUGCAUGGACUGAGCCCGUAUCUUACUGACUUGCCUUACUCGGCUACGGAAAUGAAAAUAAUCAUGAAUGUAAUAGCUUCACAUUUCCCGAACUUCCUAUUUUGUCUAUGGCUUAAAUCAUGGAACCUUUCCGUUCCUCCUAACAUUCCUUUGCAGUAGCACGAUAA